rnacentral:lncRNA from 1 species
AGUUUAUUUUCCCUGUUAUUUUUACAGGCAUGUGUUUGGAAGUUCAAACUACCACUGAAUAUUACCAAACUGUCAAGGCACGUGUCUGACAUUACACAGCUCAAGCUUGAUACUCUCAGAAAUAACUGUACCCAGCUAAACUGUCUCAGCCAACUCAGAGAAACUCGAUAAUGUUACACGUACUGACAGAAGUGUUUCCAGGAUCUGAGAUUCAGUAAGUUUCUAAUAUUAAAAAACA